UAAAGGUACCCGUACCGCAAACCGACACAGGUGGGUGAGGAGAGUAUCCUAAGGCCAGCGAGAGAACUGUUGUUAAGGAACUCGGCAAAAUGACCCCGUACCUUAGGGAUAAGGGGUGCCACCAUCAGGUGGCCGCAGAGACUAGGCCCAAGCGCCUGUUUACCAAAAACAUAGGUUUCUGCUAAGUCGCAAGACGAUGUAUAGGAGCUGACGCCUGCCCGGUGCUGGAAGGUUAAGGGGAUCUGUUAGAGCAAUCGAAGCAGUGAACUUAAGCCCCAGUAAACGGCGGCCGUAACUAUAACGGUCCUAAGGUAGCGAAAUUCCUUGUCGGGUAAGUUCCGACCCGCACGAAAGGCGUAACGAUUUGGGCACUGUCUCAACAACAGACUCGGUGAAAUUGUAAUUCCGGUGAAGAUGCCGGAUACCUGCGACAGGACGGAAAGACCCCAUGGAGCUUUACUGUAGCUUGACAUUGGGUCUUGGUACUACAUGUACAGGAUAGGUGGGAGGCUUUGAAACCAGGACGCCAGUUUUGGCGGAGCCAUCCUUGGGAU
rnacentral:rRNA from 1 species